AUCUAGGUAGUUUAAUUUAGAAUAACAAUUUGUGGUGUUGUAGGUGCAAAUUAUUAGCCUUAGAUU
rnacentral:tRNA from 1 species